rnacentral:tRNA from 1 species
GCCCCUGUAGCUCAAUUGGAUAGAGCAGGCGACUUCUAAUCGUCAGGUUGCGAGAUCAUACCUCGCCAAGGGCA